AUUGAACGCUGGCGGCAGGCCUAACACAUGCAAGUCGAACGAGUGGCGGACGGGUGAGUAAUGUCUGGGAAACUGCCCGAUGGAGGGGGAUAACUACUGGAAACGGUAGCUAAUACCGCAUACCAUCGGAGGUGCCCAGAUGGGAUUAGCUAGUAGGGGGGGAAAAGGCUCACCUAGGCGCAGAUCCCUAGCUGGUCUGAGAGGAUGACCAGCCACACUGGAACUGAGACACGGUCCAGACUCCUACGGGAGGCAGCAGUGGUGAAUAUUGCACAAUGGGCACAAGCCUGAUGCAGCCAUGCCGCGUGUAUGAAGAAGGCCUUCGGGUUGUAAAGUACUUUCAGCGGGGAGGCGUUACCCGCAGAAGAAGCACCGGCUAACUCCGUGCCAGCAGCCGCGGUAAUUC
rnacentral:rRNA from 1 species